CGUUAACCACUGAGCCACGACGGGAACUCCAAAAUUUGUAGUUUUUAAUCAAACCCUCAAUGUGUUCUGCUAUUUAAAAUAGAAAAAAAUCCUUGGUGGUCAGGGAGAGGAUGUGAGAGAGAAAGGGACGGAGGGAGGUCAGCGGGGGGAGAGAGAGAGAGCACGGAAAGUGAUUUCAUAACAGUUAUACAAGAAGUUGCUAGGAAACUAUUCACUCAAUUUGUGGAUGAUAAACAUUUUCUUCUUAAGCCCAAAUAAAUAGACCUCAUAUCAUUCCAGCCAUGAGAACACAGCUGUUUUUGUGUUGAGAAGGAGCGGGGUUGGGUGGUGUGUGUGUGUGUGUGUGUGUGUAGGGAGGGAUGGAGGGAUGGGGGAAGGGAGGACGGGUGAAGCCGAGAAGAGGCAUGUGACCUUCUUCCUGUCCUCGAGAAGGAGCUCAAAUGUCCCUGCAGCCUGCUUCUGCGGAUGCCCCAAGAGGAUGGUCCUGGACGGCAGUGAUGGGGGCCACAAGCAUGCAGAAGUUCCCUGGGCCAGAGACUGAACCCAUGCCACAGUUGCAACCUGCGCCAUAGCUGCAACAAUGCUGAACCUUUAACCCACUGCUCCACCAGAAAGCUUCCUGAACCAGUUUUUCUUAAUCCAUGCGCCAAGCAUGAAGCCAAGAACUUUGUGAACAAUUGGAAAUAAAAAGAGAAAUAAAACUUGGCCCUACCAUG